UGCGAAAUAUGGAAUGUACACAAUUUGGAGCAACAAAAAAUGAAAGCUGGUUCAUUUUGAAUUGCUUCAGGCCAAUGAAGUUGGUAGCAGUAAUGCCAUGGAACUGGAGGGA